AUUGAACGCUGGCGGAAUGCUUUACACAUGCAAGUCGAACGGCAGCACGGACUUCGGUCUGGUGGCGAGUGGCGAACGGGUGAGUAAUAUAUCGGAACGUGCCCAGUCGUGGGGGAUAACGUAGCGAAAGCUACGCUAAUACCGCAUACGACCUACGGAUGAAAGCGGGGGAUCGCAAGACCUCGCGCGAUUGGAGCGGCCGACAUCAGAUUAGGUAGUUGGUGAGGUAAAGGCUCACCAAGCCGACGAUCUGUAGCUGGUCUGAGAGGACGACCAGCCACACUGGGAGUGAGACACGGCCCAGACUCCUGCGGGAGGCAGCAGUGGGGAAUGUUGGACAAUGGACGCAAGUCUGAUCCAGCCAUUCCGCGUGCAGGACGAAGGCCUUCGGGUUGUAAACUGCUUUUGUACAGAACGAAAAGGUCUCUAUUAAUACUAGGGGCUCAUGACGGUACUGUAAGAAUAAGCACCGGCUAACUACGUGCCAGCCGCCGCCGUAA
rnacentral:rRNA from 1 species